AGUGAACGCUGGCGGUAGGCCUAACACAUGCAAGUCGAACGGCAGCACAGUAAGAGCUUGCUCUUACGGGUGGCGAGUGGCGGACGGGUGAGGAAUACAUCGGAAUCUACUUUUUCGUGGGGGAUAACGUAGGGAAACUUACGCUAAUACCGCAUACGACCUACGGGUGAAAGCAGGGGAUCUUCGGACCUUGCGCGAUUGAAUGAGCCGAUGUCGGAUUAGCUAGUUGGCGGGGUAAAGGCCCACCAAGGCGACGAUCCGUAGCUGGUCUGAGAGGAUGGUCAGCCACAACGGAACUGAGACACGGUCCCAACUCCUACGGGAGGCAGCAGUGGGGAAUAUUGGACAAUGGGCGCAAGCCUGAUCCAGCCAUACCGCGUGGGUGAAGAAGGCCUUCGGGUUUGAAAACCCUUUUGUUGGGAAAGAAAAGCAGCAGGUUAAUACCCCGCUGUUCUGACGGUACCCAAAGAAUAAGCACCGGCUAACUUCGUG
rnacentral:rRNA from 1 species